CAUGUCGAUCCCACCUCUCCCACUCUCCCCUCCCUCACUCUCCUUUUUAUGACACUCACGUUUCACAAUGCCUCUCUCUCUCUCUCUCUCUCUCUCUCUAACCAUAUUAACUCACGGGCCAGUGUUGAACCAUGCCGAGAGAGACAAAGGAAUGCAGAGUCUCCUCUGCCUGUGUACUCAUCACAGGAAGUGAGAUUGCAAAUUGAAGGAUGGAGACAGGGAGGAACAGUGUCUGUUUACGCCAGAAAUGACCGAGCAUUGAAAACUAGCUGGGAGAAGGGGUCGUAAGAGUCAUGUGAUCCACCUUCCCCAUCCCCACAGUCCUAACAAAGCAGUAGCAGUAGCAGUAGCAGUAGCAGCAGCAGCAAGGCCUCAGCAUCCCUUUGCUUCUCCUCUUUCCUCUCCUUCCAGUCUCCUUGGGUUAUAAGCAAGGGAGAGAUGUCAUCUAGCGCUUCCAGGUUCAUCAAGUGCGUCACCGUCGGGGACGGAGCUGUGGGCAAGACCUGCAUGCUCAUCUGCUACACCAGCAACAAGUUCCCAACCGACUACGUGCCCACUGUGUUCGAUAACUUCAGCGCCAACGUGGUUGUCGACGGAACGACAGUGAAUCUGGGCCUCUGGGAUACUGCUGGGCAAGAGGAUUACAAUCGACUGAGGCCACUGAGCUACCGAGGAGCAGAUGUCUUCGUGCUGGCUUUCUCACUAGUGAGCCGAGCCAGCUAUGAGAAUGUUGUGAAAAAGUGGAUACCUGAGCUGCAGCAUUAUGCCCCUGGAGUCCCUUUGCUGUUGGUUGGUACCAAAUUAGAUCUUCGUGAAGAUAAGCACUAUUUGGCAGAUCAUCCUGGGAUAUUUCCUGUUACUACUGCACAGGGAGAGGAACUGAGAAAGAAGAUUGGUGCUGCAUAUUACGUGGAGUGCAGUUCAAAAACCCAGCAGCUUGUUGUCAACAUGCUCUUUCAAACACCUAUCGAAACCUCUCCAUCUGCAGAAUGUCAAGGCAGUUUUUGAUGCUGCCAUCAAAGUAGUUAUCCAGCCUCCUGCAAAACAAAAGGAGAAAAGGAAGAAAAAGUCCACAUAUGGUUGUUCGAUUCUGAAUAUCUUAUGUAGGAUGAAGCUUUUGUGCAGCUUUAACUGAACCCUCUCCCGCCAAGAAAUUAUAUAUCCCAUUUACCUGUUUUGCUCGUCUGACACGGACCAAGACUGCAUUGGCUCUGAGUUUGGUAGUGUAAAAGGUCUUGCAAGUUGUAAAUGUUUCAUCUUGUAAGAACAAUAUUUAUGCUUUUGUGUGGAUAGAGCAGGUUUGUAAGUUGUGUUUCCUUGCUACUACCGACUUUGUUUCAAUUGGGAACUUUAACAAAGACAAUUGAUGUACUCCAGAUGUUAAACGUUCGAUUUGAAACGCGAAGGUGACUUGA